ncrna:unclassified sequences pemK RNA
AUAAUGGUACACCUGUCCAGCCACAACGGAACGUAAUGGGGGCAGCUCGGAGAGAUCCUCGGAGGGGUGCAAAACCCGUGG